UGCACAUUUAAAAAAAUUAUUGACGUGCUAAGUGCGUUAUAUAUCUUUAUAUAUUCGGCAAUGGGGGUAAUCCUUCGUCUCAUUCCCGGGAAGGGAGAAGUAGUGACGAAGCAAAUCAGAAGGAAAUACGGAUUCAGAAGGGCAGUCCCCUGAAAUUCGCGAGGAAAUUCUUCCACCGCUCCUUCCAUGAAUCCUACUUGUCCCCUUCUGAGACAUUAUCGGAUCCAUGUAACCUUUCAUCGCUCCUUCCAUGAAUACUCGUCCAUUUUGAGACAUUAUCGGACCCAUUUACCGCAUCAUCCUUUUCGGCCUUUGGUCCGUUUCCAUUUUCCGUCACGCGCCCCAAUGCCCCGCUCCUUCCACACAACUUCUUCUCCUUCUCGAUCUCUUGAAUCUUCGUGUAGAAGGAAGCUUUUUUUCGAGGAGUAUAUUAAGAGUUGAGACUGGGAGAGGGAGGAGACCAGGGGUGAAGAAGCAAGAGGAUAUGGAGAGUUACCUGAACCAGAAUUUCAGCGGUGUGCUGUCGAAGAACUCGUCGGAGGAAGCGCUCCAGCGGUGGCGGAAUCUCUGCGGCUUAGUAAAGAACCCGAAGCGGCGGUUUCGCUUCACAGCCAACCUUUCCAAGCGAUGGGAGGCCGCGGCAAUGAAGCGUUCCAACCAGG